GGCUGCCGCUGACUUUUAGUUGAAGGGCCGCGGUAUUUUGACCGUGCAAAGGUAGCAUAAUCAUUAGUUCUUUAAUUGUGAUCUGGAAUGAAUGGCUUGACGAGAUGCGAGCUGUCUUAAAUUUGAAUUUUUUAUUGAAUUUGGUUUUUGAGUUAAAAUUCUUAAAUGUUUUUAUGGGACGAGAAGACCCUAUAGAGUUUGACAUGUUGGCUUUCUUGUUUAUUUGUCGUUUGUUUUGUUUUUGAUAAGUGGGCUUUAUGUUUUGUUGGGGUGAUGAGAGGAAUAUUUAACUCCUCUUGGUUUAGUGGUUAUAUUGAUAUAUAUUUAUUUGAUCCAUUUAUUUUGAUUAUAAGAUUAAAUUACC
rnacentral:rRNA from 1 species